UGGGGAAUUUUGGACAAUGGGCGAAAGCCUGAUCCAGCCAUGCCGCGUGAGUGAAGAAGGCCUUCGGGUUGUAAAGCUCUUUCAGCCGGAAAGAAAUCGCGCAGGCUAAUACUCUGCGUGGAUGACGGUACCGGAAGAAGAAGCACCGGCUAACUACGUGCCAGCAGCCGCGGUAAUACGUAGGGUGCGAGCGUUAAUCGGAAUUACUGGGCGUAAAGCGUGCGCAGGCGGUUAUAUAAGACAGAUGUGAAAUCCCCGGGCUCAACCUGGGAACUGCGUUUGUGACUGUAUGACUAGAGUACGGCAGAGGGAGGUGGAAUUCCGCGUGUAGCAGUGAAAUGCGUAGAUAUGCGGAGGAACACCGAUGGCGAAGGCAGCCUCCUGGGCCAGUACUGACGCUCAUGCACGAAAGCGUGGGGAGCAAACAGG
rnacentral:rRNA from 1 species